UUCCGGGUUCGCGAGCGGCUACCGGCACCUGUUAUGCCCAACAGACCCUGAAUUGCCCCGGUUGUGGAGGACGUGGUUGGAAAUACUGCUGAGACGGGGAACUGGAUCCAAUUCAUACCCCUCUCCAGGCUGUGAAGGGGCAACAUAUGCUCAGAGUGAACUCUCUUCAUUCCUGUUUGUGGACGGGAGACAAGGAACACAAACGUAUACACGUGGCAAUGUGUUGAGGCCGGCAAAAUUAUCAGACAUUGCUUGGUUCCCACAAGAGUCAGAACGUAUUGAUGUUCCCGCUCGUUUGAUCAUCCAGUGUCACAGAUUCUUACAAGUGUUUUUUGUCUGGGAUGCAAACACGUGUGCUGCAGAUACGUAAAAACAAGAGGAACAUGUAAGUAUUAUCACACUGCUGACACAAAUUCAUCUGAGAUUUAGCUUUCAUCAUUGCCGGUGCUGUCAAAGUAGAGUAACAAGAGCAGAACACAAAAACACAGCUGCACGUAGUAUUUCGCCAGUGGAGUUUUAACGUGGAACACCAACCACCAAACACUCUGGAACUUACGUUUUUUUCUGCAUACUGUAAUCAUGAAACACACCACAACAAAUAUAAUAGUACCACUUAUUCAUGGUCUACAAUACAGGAGGUCAUCCGUCAUCUCUCUAUGUAUGAGUUCCAGUCCUACGAUGGCUUACUAUAUGUGUAAAUUAUAUUUAAAAUAGGAAAUAAGUCACUCCACACCGGCCAUAGAACACACAAAUACAGUAAUAAAAAGAUUAAAUAGGGGCGUUGCAAGGGAGGGAGAGAUGCUUAUUGGGAGGAGGAAUAAUCCUGCUUAGUUAUCACUGUC